rnacentral:rRNA from 1 species
AGUGAACGCUGGCGGUAGGCCUAACACAUGCAAGUCGAACGGCAGCACAGUAAGAGCUUGCUCUUACGGGUGGCGAGUGGCGGACGGGUGAGGAAUACAUCGGAAUCUACUUUUUCGUGGGGGAUAACGUAGGGAAACUUACGCUAAUACCGCAUACGACCUACGGGUGAAAGCAGGGGAUCUUCGGACCUUGCGCGAUUGAAUGAGCCGAUGUCGGAUUAGCUAGUUGGCGGGGUAAAGGCCCACCAAGGCGACGAUCCGUAGCUGGUCUGAGAGGAUGAUCAGCCACACUGGAACUGAGACACGGUCCAGACUCCUACGGGAGGCAGCAGUGGGGAAUAUUGGACAAUGGGCGCAAGCCUGACCCAGCCAUACCGCGUGGGUGAAGAAGGUCUUCGGGUUGUAAAGCCCUGUUGUUGGGAAAGAAAAGCAGCAGGUUAAUACCCCGCUGUUCUGACGGUACCCAAAGAAUAAGCACCGGCUAACUUCGUG